rnacentral:rRNA from 1 species
AGAGUUUGAUCCUGGCUCAGGAUGAACGCUGGCGGCGUGCUUAACACAUGCAAGUCGAACGAAGCACCUUGAUUUGAUUCUUCGGAUGAAGAUCUUGGUGACUGAGUGGCGGACGGGUGAGUAACGCGUGGGUAACCUGCCUCAUACAGGGGGAUAACAGUUAGAAAUGACUGCUAAUACCGCAUAAGACCACAGCACCGCAUGGUGCAGGGGUAAAAACUCCGGUGGUAUGAGAUGGACCCGCGUCUGAUUAGGUAGUUGGUGGGGUAACGGCCUACCAAGCCGACGAUCAGUAGCCGACCUGAGAGGGUGACCGGCCACAUUGGGACUGAGACACGGCCCAAACUCCUACGGGAGGCAGCAGUGGGGAAUAUUGCACAAUGGGGGAAACCCUGAUGCAGCGACGCCGCGUGUGCGAUGAAGUAUUUCGGUAUGUAAAGCUCUAUCAGCAGGGAAGAAAAUGACGGUACCUGACUAAGAAGCACCGGCUAAAUACGUGCCAGCAGCCGCGGUAAUACGUAUGGUGCAAGCGUUAUCCGGAUUUACUGGGUGUAAAGGGAGCGUAGACGGAGUGGCAAGUCUGAUGUGAAAACCCGGGGCUCAACCCCGGGACUGCAUUGGAAACUGUCAAUCUAGAGUACCGGAGAGGUAAGCGGAAUUCCUAGUGUAGCGGUGAAAUGCGUAGAUAUUAGGAGGAACACCAGUGGCGAAGGCGGCUUACUGGACGGUAACUGACGUUGAGGCUCGAAAGCGUGGGGAGCAAACAGGAUUAGAUACCCUGGUAGUCCACGCCGUAAACGAUGA